AUGUUCCAUAGUGUUCCAGGCUGAGUUAAAAUGUUCCAUAGUGUUCCAGGCUAAGUUAUAAUGUUCCAUAGUCUUCCAGGCUAACUAAAAUUGUUCCGUUCUGUUCCAGGCUGAGUUAAAAUGUUCCAUAGUGCUCCAGGCUAAGUUGUAAUGUUCCAUAGUGUUCCAGGCUAAGUUAUAAUGUUCCUUUCUGUGACAGGCUAACUUAAAUUGUUCCGUUCUGUUCCGGGCUAAGUUAAAGUUAUAAUGUUCCAUAGUGUUCCAGGCUAAGUUAAAAUGUUCCAUAGUGUUCCAGGCUAAGUCAUAAUGUUCCGUUCUGUUCCAGGCUAACUUAAAUUGUUCCGUUCUGUUCUGGGCUAAGUUAAAAUGUUCCAUAGUGUUCCAGGCUAAGUUAUAAUGUUCCAUUGUGUUCCAGGCUAAGUUGUAAUGUUCCAUAGUGUUCCAGGCUAAGUUAUAAUGUGUCGUUCUUUUCCAGGCUAACUUAAAUUGUUCCGUUCUGUUCCGGGCUAAGUUAAAAUGUUCCAUAGUGUUCCAGGCUAAGUUAAAUUGUUCCGUUCUGUUCCAGGCUAACGUGUAGUAUUGCGUUGUGUUCCAGGCUAACUUGUAAUAUUCCGUUGUGUUCCAGGCCGACUUCAAAUGUUCUGUAGUGUUCCAGGCUAAGUUAAAUUGCUCCGUUCUGUUCCAGGCUAACGUGUAAUAUUCUGUUGUGUUCCAGGCUAACUUGUAAUGUAAUGUUCUUCAAAUGUUCUGUAGUGUUCCAGGUUAAGUUAAAAUGUUCCAUAGUGUUCCAGGUAAAGUUAUAAUGUCCCGUUGUGUUCCAGGCUAAGUUGUGAAGUUCUGUUGCGUUCCAGGCUAAGUUGUAAUGUUCCGUUCUGUUCCAGGCUAAGUUGUAAUGUUCCGUUCUGUUACAGGCUAAGUUGUAAUGUCCCGUUCUGUUCCAGGCUAAGUUAAAAUGUUCCAUAGUGUUCCAGGCUAAAUUAAAAUAUUCCAUAGUGUUCCAGGCUAAGUUGUAAUGUUCCGUUCUGUUUUGAGGUUAAGUUAAAUUGUUCCGUUCUGUUUUGAGGCUAAGUUAAAAUGUUCCGUUCUGUUCCAGGCUAAGUCAAAAUGUUAGUUCUGUUCCAGGGUAAGUUAAAUUGUUCCGUUCUGUUUUGAGGCUAAGUUAAAAUGUUCCGUUCUUUUCCAGGCUAAGUUAAAAUGUUAGUUCUGUUCCAGGCUAAGUUAAAAUGUUCCAUAGUGUUCCAGGCUAAGUUGUAAUGUUCUGUUGUGUUCCAGGCUAAGUUAAAUUGUUCCGUUCUGUUCCAGACUAAGUUGUAAUGUUCUGUUGUGUUCCAGGCUAAGUUAAAUUGUCGUGUUGUGUUCCAGGCUAAGUUAAAAUGUUCCAUAGUGUUCCAGGCUAAAUUAAAAUGUUCCAUAGUGUUCCAGGCUAAAUUAAAAUAAUCCAUAGUGUUCCAGGCUAAGUUGUAAUGUUCCGUUGUGUUUCAGGCUAAGUUGUAAUGUUCUGUUGUGUUUCAGGCUAAGUUGUAAUGUUCCGUUCUGUUCCAGGCUAAGUUAAAAUGUUCCAUAGUGUUCCAGGCUAAAUUAAAAUAUUCCAUAGUGUUCCAGGCUAAGUUCUAAUGUUCCGUUGUGUUCCAGGUCAACUUCAAAUGUUCCAUAGUGCUCCAGGCUAAGGUGUUAUGUUCCGUUCUGUUUUGAGGCUAAGUCGUAAUGUUCCGUUCUGUUCCAGGCUAAGUUAAAUUGUUCCGUUCUGUUUUGAGGCUAAGUUGUAAUGUUCCGUUCUGUUCCAGGUUAAGUCGUAAUGUUCAGUUUUGUUCCAGGCUAAGUUAAAUUGUUCCGUUCUGUUCCAGGCUAAGUUGCAAUGUUCCAUUGUUUUCCAGGCUAAGUUGUAAUAUUCCGUUGUGUUCCAGGCUAAGUUGUAAUAUUCCGUUGUGUUCCAGGCUAAGUUAAAUUGUUCCGUUCUGUUC